CCAAUCACUCCUAGCUCCUCUCUCUGCUCGUCGACGCCCGGCGACACCUACGCCGUCGGCUUCGACAGUCAAUCCUCAACGCCUGUCACAACAGAGAUCCAGCACACAUCGCAUGUAGGACGGGGACAUUAGAGCUGUUUGCAAGAAGGGAUCCCCAGGCUCGGCAUCAUCGAGGACAGGACUCUCUGAACCAAAGAAAGAUGACUAUGUAAUAAUGAUUCCCAAUUCCCACAUCUUUGCCCUUAUGCUUCAAGCUCUCAAGUUGCCCCCUGCAACUUACCAUCACAAGACAUGUCCGGGCAACCAGUCCCGUGUGAUGGUUACUUUCAAUUCAUCGUUGCAGUUAGUCAAUGGUUUGCUUGUUCCAACCUCGAUAUCUGGUGUGAUCUCAAAGAACUAUGAUGAAGCAAAAGACAUUGCUGCUAUGGCAUCCAUUAUGUUUAUGGAGGAUGCAUGUGGCAAGGAAAUCAGGGAUUAUCACUACAUCCACGUUAAAAGGCUGGAAAAUAAAGUCACACACCUGGUAAGGUUGCUGUGUGCAGCAAAAAAGACAAUAAAGAAGGUACGCAGAGGAUGGUACUAUGCUGUCAGAUACAUGAGCUCGUAUUCUACCCAGAUACAGAAUACCACAGCUGCUCGGUGCCGAAGAGGGCAUGACAACACCAAAGGGGCUAUGAAAACAACACUCGCAAGCACAGGAAUUGGCAAAAAGACUACGUUAUAUUGGCAUGAAAUCGGAGCAGCGCCUAGAGACCACAGAUAGUAUCUAGUGAGCUGCGGUCAGCACAUCAUACACAGCAUGUUUACAAAGCAUUGCCUUUGCCCUUUUAAUGCUCUUCUAUAUCCUAUUAUAUUUGUAAUGGAAGGUGCCACCUGGUAGUAUGUUACUGUUCUCACUUUGCUUUGAACAAGGAAUGCACAGACUUUAUGUUUUAGUUCCUAUCUCUGUCCUAAACACUAUCCCUGAUCGUAC